AGGGCAGAUGUGCGGGCGAGGAGCUGUCGGAUAUUGAGAAUAAUUGAGACUGGAAUCUCAAAAACAAUUUUCUACAGUCAGAUGAGUCAUCAGGAUCUGAAUACCAUUGGCAUUUAACUGUGGAAGGAGAAAGGGUGCUAGAUGGUGAAGAUUUGCAGACUGAAAUCUCAGAAUCAUGCGCAGAUUGUGAUUAAGUUACUCAUUGUUUGAAGAGCCAAAGAUAGAGAAUCACUUGGCUAAAAUCCUGCAACACUCUCCCACACAGCAUUGUCGGUCUCUCUGCGCCAAAUGGACUGUGAAUGGUACAAGACAGCAGCUCACUACCAUCUUCUCAAGGGUAACUAGAGAUGGGGAAUAAAUGCUGGCUGAGCCAGUGAUGCCCAUAUCCUGGAAAUGGUUUCUAUCUCUAGUUGCUGAACCCCAGUUGAUGUUACUGCAGGAUGAUGAAGGAUGCUGAGUGUAUCCGCCAGGAGGCAGCACCAUCACAUUACCCCUGCCUACACCCACACAGUAACACAGCAACGUCACUGGUACAAAAGGCAGUGACAAAACUUAGAUAUAGUUCUUCGAGGUAAAGUCAUGAAAGGGGAUUGGAGCACAGCAGGAACAGGAGACUGAGCUGGAUGGUCAGCUGUUUCCCAUUGAAUGGUGGGGCAGGAUAGAAAGUCUGAAUGCCCCCCUCCUGCUGCUAUCUCCCAGGUAUGUAUAUAGUCAUGGAGCCCGGGUAGGAAGGAGUGGGCAGGGAUUCUCCAGGAGAUUGCAAUUCCACAUCAGGUUUCAGUGAGGGAUGGUU